rnacentral:rRNA from 1 species
AUAGCCAUGCAGGGCGAACCCGGGGAACUGAAAUAUCUAAGUACCCGGAGGAAAAGAAAUCAACCGAGAUUCCCUGAGUAGCGACGAGCGAACGGGGACUAGCCCAAAAGCACAUUGUGUUCUAGUCAAACGGCAUGGAAAGGCCGGCCAUAGAUGGUGAUAGCCCAGUCGACGAAAGGGCACUUUGUGUGAAAUUGAGUAAGGCGGGGCACGUGAAACCUUGUCUGAACAUGGGGGGACCAUCCUCCAAGGCUAAAUACUCCUGACUGACCGAUAGCGAACUAGUACCGUGAGGGAAAGGCGAAAAGAACCCCGGAGAGGGGAGUGAAAUAGACCCUGAAACCGUAUACGUACAAGCAGUGGAAGCCCGCAAGGGUGACUGCGUACCUUUUGUAUAAUGGGUCAGCGACUUACUGUCAGUGGCAAGCUUAACCGUAUAGGGGAGGCGAAGAGAAAUCGAGUCUGAAUAGGGCGCAUAGUCUCUGGCAGUAGACCCGAAACCGAGUGAUCUAUCCUUGGCCAGGUUGAAGGUGCGGUAACACGCACUGGAGGACCGAACCCACAUCUGUUGCAAUAGAUGGGGAUGAGCUGAGGAUAGGAGUGAAAGGCUAAACAAACUCGGAGAUAGCUGGUUCUCCUCGAAAGCUAUUUAGGUAGCGCCUCGGACGAAUCUUCCUGGGGGUAGAGCACUGUUAUGGCUAGGGGGUCAUCGCGACUUACCAAACCAUGGCAAACUCCGAAUACCAGGACAGACUAUCCGGGAGACACACGGCGGGUGCUAACGUCCGUCGUGAAAAGGGAAACAACCCAGACCCGCAGCUAAGGUCCCAAAGUCAUAGCUAAGUGGAAAACGAUGUGGAAAGGCAUAGACAGCCAGGAGGUUGGCUUAGAAGCAGCCAUCCUUUAAAGAAAGCGUAAUAGCUCACUGGUCGAGUCGGUCUGCGCGGAAGAUUUAACGGGGCUAAGCUAUGCACCGAAGCUCGGGGUGUGCACGCAAGUGCACGCGGUAGAGGAGCGUUCCGUAAGCCUGUGAAGGUGGAUUGUAAAGUCUGCUGGAGGUAUCGGAAGUGCGAAUGCUGACAUGAGUAACGAUAAUGGGGGUGAAAAGCCCCCACGCCGAAAGCCCAAGGUUUCCUCGCGCAACGUUCAUCGGCGCAGGGUGAGUCGGCCCCUAAGGCGAGGCAGAAAUGCGUAGUCGAUGGGAAGCUGGUUAAUAUUCCAGCACUUUUCUACAGUGCGAUGUGGGGACGGAGAAAGUUAGGUCUACCGGGCGUUGGUUGUCCCGGGGAAAGGCGGUAGGCAUGGAUCUUAGGCAAAUCCGGGAUCCUUUAUGCCGAGCACCGAGACGAGCCCUUUUGGGCGAAGUGACCGAUACUACGCUUCCAGGAAAAGCCACUAAGCUUCAGCUGUAGAAAAACCGUACCGUAAACCGACACUGGUAGGCAGGGUGAGAAUCCCAAGGCGCUUGAGAGAACUCGGGUGAAGGAACUAGGCAAAAUGGCACCGUAACUUCGGGAGAAGGUGCGCCC